CCAGAUCAAUCCAGAUAAACCAGAUCAAACCAAUCAAACUAGAUCAAACCAGAUCAAACAGGAUCCAUUAGAUCAAACCAGAUCAAACAGGAUCCAUUAGAUCAAACCAGAUAAACCACAUCAAACAGGAUC